rnacentral:rRNA from 3 species
UUGACCUCGGAUCAGGUAGGGAUACCCGCUGAACUUAAGCAUAUCAAUAAGCGGAGGAAAAGAAAACCAACCAA